rnacentral:misc_RNA from 1 species
ACACACACACACACACAAAUAUCUGACCCAUAAAUGACCAUUAUAUUUUCUGUUCCCAGGAUUUGAUGGGAUUUGCAGUAGCUCACUGAGAAUAGCAAAGGAUGAGGAGGUCACUGGCCAAAUGGUUAUAGCCUUGUAUAGUUCAAUGAAAUAAAAGUACUCAGUGUAGGAGAUUUUUCUUUUUCCCGUACUAUUCUGAUGAAUAAAUUCAAAUUCCUUAAGACCACGACUAAUAGUUAGCUUUGAAAUCUUGCUGAUUCUCUCUCACAUUCCUUCAUAUAGUUCUAAUAAAAAUUAUGAGUUAAGGUAACCUAAAUUUACGAAGUACUUUUCCCCUCAAAUUUCUUCAUAAACAAAGUCUCCGAUCCAUAGAAAGUGAAUUCUGGUUCACACAGAAAUGUUAAAGCUCAUUAUCAAAAUAGCGAGUUUCCAAGAUCAAAACUAUACAAAAAGUACAAGGCACAGUGAAAGGCUUCAAUUUGAGCUACAUUACCUUAAUGUUACUAGAUGUAUCUUUACUCCUGAGUGUUUAGCAGGAUAAAAGAAACGAAAGGGGAAAAAAAAUCAAUGAACUGAAUAUAAGAGGCAUAAAUAUCAUAUCAAUCUAGCUGUAAGUACAAUAAUUUACCAUUCAUGGUGAUGCUUGAGUUUGUAAAAUGGUUUGAUUAUUUCCAAACCCUUGGAGUUGCAUGCUUUUGGAAAUAAGGAUGAAGUAACUCCUUCCAGGUAUAAAGGUGCACGCAUAAAGCACGAAGCCUAUGGAGACAGCUUGUUUUUUAAUAACUUGAAACUAUUUCUUUUCUACUUUAAUGCAUAACAGCAGGAUAUGUAGUGAAUGAUUCCUCACAAUCCUAAAUAAAUAGACAUCACAAAUAAUAUUUAUUCAAAAUUUACAUAGUAAUAUCCAAAAUAUGGUUGGAAUACUGCUUACUGCUCGGUGGAGGGCAAACAUCUCUUCUUGACCAGAUAGCAUGGAAACUAUGCUGGUUGGUGCACCUCCAGAGCCCACAGUGCCUUCAGCUAAGAUGCUUCUUCCACCUUCUGUCUCUGUUUCAAAUUGGAAACUGGACACCAAAAAGUAGACAUGCUCUUGUAAUUAUGAAAACAUCUCUCAAGGAAAAAAAAGUAUGAUAUUUCAGUUGAUAUGACCUUGUGAUAAAGAGAGUAGCCCUCAUUCAAAGAAAUAAUUAAUGUUUUUAUAUUAGCUCUAACAUACUGUCUAUACUCCUUCACCCUCCUCGUUUGAAGGGUGAUCAGUCUCCAUAACUAAAUUGGAUCCAUGACUCAGACUGUAAAUCUAGUGUGGUUGAUGAGAGAAACCAUUAGCUUGCACUGACUAACUAAAUCAGAGCCUUGCAUGACAGACUGCAAUAUCAUGGAACUCCUGGAGCCAGGGCAACGCCUGAAUAUUCAAGAA